CCUAUUAUUUAAGAGCUUAACAUUGUAAGUAAAUAAUAAUUAUGAAAGCAAAAAAUUAUGGCGGUAUUUUAAGCUUUUCAGAGGAAUUUGCUCCUUAAUGGAUAAAACACCAAAAUCUUACUUAGAUUUGUGAUUUCAAUUUGUAUACCACUAUUAAAACAAUUUAUAACUUUAAUUGUUUAAAUUUAAAAAACUAAAAUAUAUUAAGUCAAGGUGCAGUAAAAAUUUAAGGAUGAAGUGAAUUACAUUACUCUUUAGUGAGAUAAAUUUAUAACAAUAUUUAGGAUUUGAAAGUAAAAUUAAAAUAGGAUGUUAAUU
rnacentral:rRNA from 1 species